GAAUCAAAAAAGAAGCAACAUCCUGAUC
rnacentral:sRNA from 1 species